AUCCAAAUGACGAAUCCCAAGUAGGACGAAACGCGUGUCCUGCAU
rnacentral:hammerhead_ribozyme from 1 species